rnacentral:rRNA from 1 species
UACGUAGGUGGCAAGCGUUGUCCGGAUUUACUGGGCGUAAAGAGCGCGCAGACGGUCGAUCAAGUCGCGUGUGAAAGCCCCCCGGCUCAACUGGGGAGGGUCACGCGAUACUGAUCGACUCGAAGGCAGGAGAGGGUAGUGGAAUUCCCGGUGUAGUGGUGAAAUUCGUAGAUAUCAGGAGGAACACCCAGUGGCGAAGGCGGCUUCCUGGGACACUAACUGACGCUGAGACGCGAAAGCGUGGGGGAGCAAACAGG